rnacentral:other from 1 species
UAUCUGUUGUGUGCGUGAUUGACUUUUAUCCCUGAGCCGAUUAAAUACACUUUAUAGGAAAUGAGAUAGUUUACUUCUGUGUAAGCCUAAAACAUAUUAGGAAACCUACGGUAACCUUCGAAAUUCCGCCUUGAACCAUAUGGUUCAGGUACCCUUUCAACACGGCACAACGGAAC